GGACGGGUGGCGGAAUUGGCAGACGCGUACGGCUUAGGACCGUAUGCCUUAGGGCGUGUGGGUUCAAGUCCCUCCCCGUCCA
rnacentral:tRNA from 1 species